AGAACUUUGAAGAGAGAGUUCAAGAGUACGUGAAACCGUUCAGGGGUAAACCUGAGAAACCCAAAAGAUCGAAUGGGGAGAUUCAUCGUCAGCGGCGUUGGCUUUCGUGUGGUGCGCGAUGAUGCGGGACUUCGGUUUCGCGUCACGCCACCGCUGCGGUAUGCCCGGCGUCGUCGGCGUGCACUUCUCCCCUAGUAGGACGUCGCGACCCGUUGGGUGCCGGCCUACGGCCCGGAUGGUCGACUGUCGCGUCGCGUUCACGCGUGCACGCGGCAGACCUCCGGCUGCCCGGCCGGCUGCCCGGCGGUAUAGAUUUUUUAUAAAACGGUAUUGGGCCGCAUUAAGUGCGUUCUGGCUCGUCGGCAGGCUCGCCUCGCUCGGAUUUACGGACCUAGCGCCGUUGCCGGGCGCUUGGCGUGGCUGUUAGUCGACGAUGUCCUCGGACUGGCUCUUACAUUCGUAAGGAUAUACCGGUCGGCGACGCUACUGCUUUGGGUACUUUCAGGACCCGUCUUG
rnacentral:rRNA from 1 species